rnacentral:rRNA from 1 species
GUAGGGAAUAUUGGGCAAUGGAGGCAACUCUGACCCAGCCAUGCCGCGUGCAGGAUGACGGCCCUCUGGGUUGUAAACUGCUUUUAUACGGGAAGAAAAAAUACUACGUGUAGUAUACUGACGGUACCGUAAGAAUAAGGAUCGGCUAACUCCGUGCCAGCAGCCGCGGUAAUACGGAGGAUCCAAGCGUUGUCCGGAUUUAUUGGGUUUAAAGGGUGCGUAGGCGGAUCUUUAAGUCAGUGGUGAAAGCCUGCAGCUUAGCUGUAGAAUUGCCAUUGAAACUGAAGAUCUUGAAUGUGGUUAAAGUAGGCGGAAUGUAUCAUGUAGCGGUGAAAUGCUUAGAUAUGAUACAGAACACCGAUAGCGAAGGCAGCUUGCUGAACCAUUAUUGACGCUGAGGCACGAAAGCGUGGGGAGCGAACAGGAUUAGAAACCCUUGUAGUCC